rnacentral:rRNA from 1 species
UACAGAGGUCCCGAGCGUUGUUCGGAUUCACUGGGCGUAAAGGGCGCGUAGGCGGUCAGCACAAGUCAGUUGUGAAAUCUCCGGGCUUAACUCGGAAAGGUCAACUGAUACUGUGCGACUAGAGUGCAGAAGGGGCAACUGGAAUUCUCGGUGUAGCGGUGAAAUGCGUAGAUAUCGAGAGGAACACCUGCGGCGAAGGCGGGUUGCUGGGCUGACACUGACGCUGAUGCGCGAAAGCCAGGGGAGCGAACGGG